GUGAUAAAACCCGCUGUGUGAGGUGAUAAAAUCCGCUGUGUGAGGUGAUAAAAUGCUGUGUGAGGUGAUACAAUCCACUGUGUGAGGUGAUAAAAUCCACUGUGUCAGGUGAUAAAAUGCUGUGUCAGGUGAUAAAAUCUGCUGUGUGAGGUGAUAAAAUCUGCUGAGUGAGGUGAUAAAACCCGCUGCGUGAGUGAUAAAAUGCUGUGUGAGGUGAUAAAAUGCUGUGUGAGGUGGUAAAACCCGCUGUGUGAGGUGAUAAAAUCCACUGAGUGAGGUGAUAAAACCCGCUGUGUGAGGUGAUAAAAUCCGCUGAGUGAGGUGAUAAAAUCUGCUGUGUGAG